CGAUGACCACCUUCGGGUGGGGAUUAGUGGCGAACGGGUGAGUAACACGUGGGCAAUCUGCCCUGCACUCUGGGACAAGCCCUGGAAACGGGGUCUAAUACCGGAUACUGACCCUCGCAGGCAUCUGCGAGGUUCGAAAGCUCCGGCGGUGCAGGAUGAGCCCGCGGCCUAUCAGCUAGUUGGUGAGGUAAUGGCUCACCAAGGCGACGACGGGUAGCCGGCCUGAGAGGGCGACCGGCCACACUGGGACUGAGACACGGCCCAGACUCCUACGGGAGGCAGCAGUGGGGAAUAUUGCACAAUGGGCGAAAGCCUGAUGCAGCGACGCCGCGUGAGGGAUGACGGCCUUCGGGUUGUAAACCUCUUUCAGCAGGGAAGAAGCGAAAGUGACGGUACCUGCAGAAGAAGCGCCGGCUAACUACGUGCCAGCAGCCGCGGUAAUACGUAGGGCGCAAGCGUUGUCCGGAAUUAUUGGGCGUAAAGAGCUCGUAGGCGGCUUGUCACGUCGGUUGUGAAAGCCCGGGGCUUA
rnacentral:rRNA from 1 species